rnacentral:lncRNA from 1 species
GAAGUCAGACCAUGUAUUUUUUUCUGACUACAAUAGAAUGAAACUGGAAAUCAAUAGUGGAAGAAAAAGAAGAAAAUUGAAAUAUGUUUAAAUUCCACAUAUUUCCACAAAUAUAAUUUCACAUAUAUACUCUUGCAUAUCCAAUGAGUCAAAGAAAAAAUUAAAAGAGAAAUUAGAUCAUAUCUUGAGACAAAUGAAAACAUAAACACAACAUAUCAAAACUUAUUGGAUGCAGCAAAAGUAGUACUAAGAGGGACGUU